UAGAUGCGAGAGUAGAGCAUAUCAAUAAGCGGAGGAAAAGAAACUAACAAGGAUUCCCUUAGUAACGGCGAGUGAAGCGGGAAGAGCUCAAAUUUGAAAUCUUCAAGGUUUUACCUUGACGAAUUGUAAUUUAAAGAAGUGUUUUCUGUUGGAGUUUUGGUAAAAGUUCUUUGGAAUAGGACAUCAUAGAGGGUGAGAAUCCCGUAUUUGACCAUUUCUUCCAGCUGUGUGAUGCACUUUCAAAGAGUCGGAUUGUUUGGGAAUGCAGUCCAAAAUGGGUGGUAAAUUUCAUCUAAAGCUAAAUAUUGGCGAGAGACCGAUAGCGAACAAGUACCGUGAGGGAAAGAUGAAAAGAACUUUGAAAAGAGAGUUAAACAGUACGUGAAAUUGUCAAAAGGGAAGCGUUUGACACCAGUGUUGUUUAGUUGAAAAUCAAUUCAAUAAUUUUUGAUUUUGAGUAGUAUUGACUUCAUCAGCUUGCUGCUUUCUUUUCGGAAAUUAUUGAAUGCACUUUUCAGUUAACAAGUCAACAUCAAUUUCUUUUGUUGUAAAAGGGUAAGAGGAAGGUGGCUUACGCUUCGGCGUAAGUGUUUAUAGCCUUUUACCUCUGCAAUCGGAGAGAUUGAGGACAGCAGCGUAGACUCCUUCGGGGGUUAGAUACACUUGUGCUAAGCUAUAGCCUUGUAUAGACAACUUGUUGACUAUGCUCAGUCAUGUAGCUUACUCGCUUGUGCUAUUUUACCUACGCUUAGGAUGUUGACGCGCGUGUGUGCGUG
rnacentral:rRNA from 1 species